GGAAGAGGGAAAAUGAAGCACCAGAGUGGUUUCAGCACUUCGUCGGGCAUCCUUUAGCACAGCUUUCCAGCAGUUGUGUGGUGUUUUCUCUUCCCGAGCAUGUGGCACCCAGGCACUUUUCAUAGAGAUUCUGGCAUCCGCAUCUGAAUCUACUUGUGCAUCCCCCCCACCCCCCAGGGUGUGAAGGAUCUUAUUUAGAAGUAAAUGCAGGAGAAGAAAAACUUAAAUUCAAAAGGAAUGAAACAAGGAAGCCAUUUGAACACAAACAGAUCUCUGAAGAAACUGGUCGUGGAGUGUUCUUGCCUGAGGCUGCAUGGCGAAAUUUCAGUGAAGAGAUCAACCAACUCUCCUUGGCAUGUUUUCAUCCCAGGAACUGCCCCUCCAAAGCAGAGAGUAUCAGGAAGACCACCGUGUUGGGAGCUGGGAGAAGACAGGCCUCCUCCACCGCUGCUGCCCCGCUCUGUCCUGCUCUGCGGGUGACUCCGUGGGGCUGGUCAGCCACGGGCUGGCUGCAGCCUCAGGCAGCUCACCCAGCCUCUCCAGCCCCCCUCUGGCCGGAUUGCCUUCACCUGCACCCACAGUGCUAGCCUCCACAACUGCCGGGAGGAGUACAUAAAACAACAAGGUGGCAACAUUUUGUAAGCUGUCAGCCAGUGCUUUUUACAAGAGACACUGUCCCAUACAUGCUACGUAUUGUUGUUUUUUUGUUUUGUUUUUUUAAAUCCAUGAUUGUAAAAUGCCACACCUCAGAAACGCACAGUGUGCUUUGGCAUACUGAAGAAUCUGAGAGGUGAACUCUUUGGAAACUUGUUUAAUGCAGUGUUGCACAGACUAUUUGGUCUCGGAAUCCCGUUUUCAUUUACGGUCGUGUGCCACAUAACAGUGGGAUACAUUCUGAGAAAUGUGUCGCUAGGCGCUGAUUCUGUCACUGUGUGAACAUCAUAAAGGGCUUAGGUAAACCGAGAUGGCGGAGCCCUCCCCUGUCGGCGUUUGUGCUGUGCUGCCACUGGGCCGGUGUGCACCAGCAGGACCACAAAGGAGCGACUGCAGUGCCAGCCCUGACACGUGGCUUCCUUUGGGUCAUGAGGGUGCCUGACGUCAGCUUUGACCAGGGAGCCAUCCACUGCGGGAAGAAACACCCUGCAGGCCAACAGGGCCGCCUCCCAGCCCUGAGGCUGCCUUGCUGCUGAAACCUUGAUUUCCAUCACUGACCAUUUGGGCUACUUGUUUUUUUCUCUCCUUGCGCUUUAAAUUCCUGCUCUUGUGUGUUAAACUCUCCAAUAAAGAGUGAGCCUGUGACACUCUAAGCCCCGCCCACCCUUGAACCCAAUAAAAGCCGA